GCAGCUAUACCCAAGUGGUUACGGGGUGCCACUCAAGAAACUUUCUCUUCUGAGCUUCUUCCAGCGAUUGCUGGAGUCUUGGCAUGCAUAUGCAUCCUGGGUUCGAACCCCAGUGGCUGCA